UUCCACAUCUCCAGCCUCCUUAACACAUUAGCAAGAACUCCAGUCCGCUCCCCUUCCAAAAUAAUGGAAGCACAAGCAACGUCCCCGUCCCCCGCUCGCCGCGUGAGGACACACACACGCAGGAUGCAGCCAAGCAAAAAAGCCCACGAGCCAGGCCAGGACACACAUGCAUGUACCGCAUCGGGGGCGUGAGCCAAGGGGCUCCGGUUCAUAAGCUACGGCCCAACAACGGCGACGGCGGCGACGACGACUCUUCCUCCUUUCUCGGCACAGGAUCGUCCGUCGUCGUCGUCCCUGACGCAGCGGGCCACGCUGUUCCCGGCGCGCGUGUCAGAUUGUAUUGUGCUGCAUGUGCGCGAACCACCAUCAGUUUCAUCAGUUCACGUCGAGUUCCAAUCAAUCAGCUUGCCUCUGCUGGACGUUCUGGCGGGCGUCGUCUUCGGCCACCCCCCUUGUUGCGAGCCGCCCCUGUUUUCUCGCGACCCGGCAGCAGCAGCACCCACCUGACCUGCGUGCGUCAAGGGUCGCUGGUUGGUCGUAAAGCAUCCUCAUAGUAGCUCAUGGCUACGUACGUUACCUGCCUGCUGUGUAUUUUACGUGAAAAAUGUGUUACUUGUGACGUUAUAGUACGUGCGUAAGACCAUAUACAGGCCUUGCUAUAA